CGUCAAAUCAUCAUGCCCUUUAUGCCUUGGGCUACACACGUACUACAAUGGGCUGUACAGAGGGCGGCAAGACCGUGAGGUCAAGCGAAUCCCAUAAAGCAGUCCUCAGUUCGGAUUGUAGGCUGCAACUCGCCUACAUGAAGCUGGAAUCGCUAGUAAUCGCAGGUCAGCAUACUGCGGUGAAUACGUUCCCGGGCCUU
rnacentral:rRNA from 1 species